AUGCUGGUCACCAGCAUACCAGCACCAACACACCAGAACCAACAUCCCACCCUGGUAACCGUGUCCACAACUUAUUUCAUACUGCAGAAAUGAGGACGAGUGAAGCUGGCUGUGAAAGCCCAAUACUGGACACAGCCCUGCCGCAAAAACCAGCAUAGACCAGCGUAUGUUGUGCUACUGGAGGCACAAUUAUAUCAGCUACUCUUUAUUUGGCUGUCGUGUCUAGCUUCACUGCUAGCUGCCACUAGCAAGUAGCCUAGUUUAGCAUGCUGUGUAGCUAGAUAAAGCUAGACAAAAAACACAUGUAGACCCGGAGAAGAGUACCAUCUUACUUUUUGAAUUGAGGAUUUAUUUCAACAAAACCAGAGGUGAUUGUGGAAAGACAAACCAGGACUGUUUUGAGAUGCCAGAAUCUACCAGUAGCACACGCUAUGGUACGCCACACUGCAAGAAAUGCUAGGUGACCGGGUCUCAGGUGGCAUAAUGCUGUACUUGAUGCACAGCCAGGAGAUUUAUAGUCAUCUUUUCAUCUCACUCUCACUCACAUUGCUUACUUAUCAUAUACUGUUAAUAUAAUAAUUUAUUCACUUAUACUAUACUUAUACUUCUCUUUGUAUGUAUAUAAGUUAUUUGUUUUCAGUGUUGCUUCGUUGAUGCCUGCGCUCAAAGAUCAGAAGAAACUUUCCCAGCAGCCGUAAAUUUCACCCACCUUUAUCAUGUAUUGCACGGUGUUGAAAAUUUUCACUCAGUUCUUGCGAUGGCGCAGACUGAGUUUGUGAUCGAUGUUUGACUCUCAGGUGCGACACUGACACGUCCGUCUUAUUUUAAUUAUUUCUGGAUGUGGCUAUGAAGUGGGUCUGGCUGUGUGUGUCUCUGGCUCAGCAUCACAUUCUGACAUUCGCUGUCGGAAUGCAGAUUGAGGGAGUGAGCUGUUGGGAGGUCAGAGGUCAAAGAGUCUACAAAGAAAGUAAUACCGAAGACACCCAGGAGCUCAUCUGAUGCUGAUGCCCAACAGAGCAACAAGAAACCAUUCAAAUCAAGAAGACUUACAUGCUGAUGAAAAACUACUUUGUGGGCAGAUUAUUAUAGAUUAACUGCCUCUAGUAUAUGAAAUAAAAAACACACAAAAAAACAAUACCCGGGUAAGAACUCCAAGUUAUGAAAUUCCAUUAUCAAGUUAAAUAUCUGCUAAUUUGCAUACAUACCAGAGCAGAAAUCUGAACAUCGGAUAAAGCCAGGUUCAGUAAUCACUGAAUAUCCAGUUGAAGGAGGGAAUUUGAUCUGUUUUGUACUCGAUUAUCAGAUGAUACUGUCAACUGUAAAAAUACAUUUUUGCAAUGCUUUUAGGAAUAAAAUGAGGAACAAGUUUGGUGUAGAAAACUAAUUUUGAGAAAAUGGCUUUUAAAAUUAUGCACUUCAAACUGUGAAAUUAAUUUUUCAGCAAAAAAUGAGAUCCUACAGGUGAAUGGGGUGAAAGUAGAUGUCACCAACCUUCUCUAGUUUAGACAUCAAUACAAAUAUUUUUGGUAUUAAAAAUGCUUCUGAAAGGCUGUAUUAUUGAAUAUACACUGAUUUGUGUUAAUUUCCAGAAAACAAAUAAAUAAACAACUUAAAAGUAUAUCUUGG